rnacentral:rRNA from 1 species
AGAGCUCAAAUUUAAAAUCUGGCGUGCCUCUGGCCGUCCGAGUUGUAGUCUAGAGAAGUGUUUUCCGUGUUGGACCGUGUAUAAGUCUCUUGGAACAGGGCGUCAUAGAGGGUGAGAAUCCCGUCUUUGACACGGACUACCAAUGCUUUGUGAUACACUCUCAAAGAGUCGAGUUGUUUGGGAAUGCAGCUCAAAAUGGGUGGUAAAUUCCAUCUAAAGCUAAAUAUAGGCGAGAGACCGAUNGCGAA